GGAAGUUAAAGCAACCCUAAAGAUCGGUUUUUAAAGAAGCCACGGUGUCACUGGUUUAAAAAGAGCUGCGUUUUUAGUGCUGUCGGCUAUGCUCAGGAUUUUCCAGGUUUGAAUAGCUCAUAAUGUCAUCACCAUUGGCAAAUGCAAUGAAGAGGGCAAGGUUGAAGCUGUCCAGGAUAUUCUAUGAGUGAAUGUGCGAGGCUGUUUAUACACAGCCAGGCUCGAGUCUCUGUGCUGCUCUGAGGAUUCCAUGCUGGUGUCCAUGCUCACUGGUGAAAGGGGAUGAAUCAGGCUUUGUUGGAUUUCUGUGAUUCUUACCAUUUAGAUUGCACCAAGCCUACAGUUUGGCUCCUGCACUAUCUCAACACUUGUGGAGCAAGCUGUGAAAGGAAAAUUAUUGGUGUCAGCUACUGCAGAGUGCCUCAGGAGCUGACUGAAUGUUGGACUCUGGAAGAACACCCUCUGAGAGGCAGUUUGCAUCAUAUGCCUCCAGUUUAUAAAAGAUGA
rnacentral:lncRNA from 1 species